UGCUCCUCUAUAAUAGGAAAUGUGCUGCCCAAUUGUAUCUUCCAAAACAUAAUGGUUACAAAUACCCUUCAUCUACAAAAAAAAAAAAAAAAAAAAGGGAAAAAAUUUUAUAAAAUUAAAGGAAAAUAUCUAACCAAAAUAUCCAUAAAUGCCCUACCAUUUUCAGCUAAUAAUCCAGGGAAAUCUUAAUUCUUUCAAUAUCUCAUCAGCCCAGCUCCC
rnacentral:misc_RNA from 1 species